rnacentral:rRNA from 1 species
AGUAGGGAAUAUUGCGCAAUGGGCGAAAGCCUGACGCAGCGACGCCGCGUGGGUGAUGAAGGCCUUCGGGUCGUAAAGCCCUGUCGAGGGGGACGAACCGGCCGCGACCGAACAGGUCGCGACCCUGACGGUACCCCUAAAGGAAGCACCGGCUAACUCCGUGCCAGCAGCCGCGGUAAUACGGAGGGUGCGAGCGUUGUUCGGAAUCACUGGGCGUAAAGCGCGUGUAGGCGGCCUGCUAAGUCUGAUGUGAAAGCCCGAGGCUCACCCUCGGAAGUGCAUUGGAAACUGGCAGACUGGAGUCCCGGAGAGGAGGGUGGAAUUCCUGGUGUAGCGGUGAAAUGCGUAGAUAUCAGGAGGAACACCGGUGGCGAAGGCGGCCCUCUGGACGGUGACUGACGCUGAGACGCGAAAGCGUGGGGAGCAAA